GCUCUGCACCCCUUAUAUACCCCUGGGGCAGGGCGGGGUCUGGGGUGUCACAAAGGUCUCUGGGCACACCCAUGUCCCACGUCACAAAGGGUCCUGGAAGGUGCCUGUGUCACAAAGGGCCACCCCCGGCCCCCCAUGGACAGCGGGACUGGACCUGGCUCGGGGCAUCCUGUGGAGCAAAUUGUGCAGCAUCUCUGACAGAAUCAGCUUUAUUGCAGGGAUCCUACUCCAGCUGGGAGGAGGACAGUAAGAAAGAGAGCUGGACUUCCACAACAGGGACACCUGACCCUGCAAUGCCUUGGCACUUCAGAAAAGGGAACAUGAAACCACAGUACUUUAAAAAGCAAGUACUGAGAAGGGCAGUGGUUUGAGAAGAAAUGCCUUUGGGUGUCUCUUGGUUUUGAGGAAUGACAAGCUGCUUCUCCUGCCAGCUGUAGCAGGAGCUCCCUCGGUCGUUUAUCAUGAGCUUCACCUCCAUGGAUCAAGCCCUACUGUUUCUCCCUUGCAGAUGGACAGACAUGGAGCCUCAUGGACCUUCCCUGAUGUUGGUUGAGGCAUUUGAACAGAAAUCACAGUGUUGAUGCCACUUACAAGUUGGCCAACACAAAAGUGAAUACAACACAAGUGCAAGGAAGGCUGGA